AGCGAACGCUGGCGGCAGGCCUAACACAUGCAAGUCGAACGAACUCUUCGGAGUUAGUGGCGGACGGGUGAGUAACACGUGGGAACGUGCCUUUUGGUUCGGAAUAACUCAGGUAAACUUGUGCUAAUACCGAAUGUGCCCUUCGGGGGAAAGAUUUAUCGCCCUUGGAGCGGCCCGCGUCUGAUUAGCUAGUUGGUGAGGUAACGGCUCACCAAGGCGACGAUAAGUAGCUGGUCUGAGAGGAUGACCAGCCACACUGGGACUGUGACACGGCCCAGACUACUACGGGAGGCAGCAGUGGGGGAUCUUGCGCAAUGGGCGAAAGCAUGACGCAGCCAUGCCGCGUGAAUGAUGAAGGUCUUAGGAUUGUAAAAUUCUUUCACCGGGGACGAUAAUGACGGUACCCGGAGAAGAAGCCCCGGCUAACUUCGUG
rnacentral:rRNA from 1 species